UCCCUGGUAGCUCAGGUGGCAAAGUAUCUGCCUGCAAUGCAGGAGACCUGAGUUCAAUCCUGGGUCAGGAAG
rfam:Ovis aries breed Texel chromosome 1, whole genome shotgun sequence.